AACGUGGGCAGACACACAUAGAAGAAAGAAGAUGAGGAGAAAAAAAAGGAAGAUUUAGCCCCUCAUAACCCUGUGUUGCAUUCAAAUGGAUGACAAAGGUCCACGAAUUUCUUGAUCAUUACAUUGCAUCACAACAGGACCCGUCUGUUAAGGUGCUUCAGCACAAGUUUCAUUGGCAGUCUGUCGAUGAUGUCGUCUGGGUUGCCAGAGAAGACGGUUGACGGCACAAUGAAUACCUCCGACUCACUGCUGAGGAAUGUGCAGGUGUCGUUGACCUCAGAGACACCAAUGAUGUCUACCUCAGUUUCCUCAACCUGGCCCUCAGGGAUCUGUGGAAACAAACCAGUGUGGGAAAUGUCAGUGUAUUAGUACUAAAAAAAACACCUCACUUGUAAACUAUGGCAGCAGUAGUGUUGUGCAUUAUGUACCUGCACAGACGUGUAGGCCGAGGACUGGAAUUUCCUCUGGCCGUUCUUAAAAAUGCAGGGACGAAGGUGUGUGAGCACCACCUCGUCACCCACGUAGAGGUCCAUCAGCGCCUCAUCCCUCCACAGCGACACGUCAAAGGCCUUUCCUCCACACUGGAGCCGCAUGUCCAGAAUGGGGACGUUGGUUCUAGUCAUCCUCGUGCCACACAACUGGAAAAAGUAAAUUUAUGGGCAACUUGUAACUGGAUGAUGAGGAGGUAAUGAUGUUAAUUUAGUACAUUAUAUUAGAUACUGCAAAAAGUAUUAGACGGAUAGAAAAUAUACAUCUAUGAUCUUUCCCUGGAGGCUGAGGUAUCCACCCUGAGAGAUGUCGUCCUGUUCUUCUCCACUCAUCAGUGGGGAAGCCGGACACAGGGCAUGUUUGGCCUGCAUCAUUGCCUCCUCUGUGAUCUCCAUUGGAACCGUUUUGAAUUUCAGGGUUCCAGGACCCACAAACAAAUGUAUCUGUCCGUAUGCAUUUGAUAUAGUGUGUUUUUGGAGUACAUAGCUCACCCCCUCCUCAAACUCCGGGGUAAAGCCAUCUUUUUUAUUUAAAUAGGUUUUUGACCCGUCAGAAAGGGCACUCAAACACUGCGUUUUAAAUCUUCCAAUAUCUAUUUUCCGUCCCUUUGUGAAGCUCUGGGCUCGCUGGCUCAACUUGGUUGCAACACACUUGCAAGUCAAAAAUGCAGUUGGAGUUGGAGUUGGAUUUUAGCACUUAAACUUCAAACAUACAGUGUGAGCAGUGUAGUCUGAUUACAACAUUAAUGACUCUGAGCCGGUUCUUUUGAAUCUACAGUGUGACCAGUGUAGUCUGAUUCCCAAACAAAUUACUCUAAUGAGCUGGUUCUUUUGAAUCUACAGUGUGAAACAUACAGUGUGACCAGUGUAGUCUGAUUCCCAAACAAAUUACUCUAAUGAGCUGGUUCUUUUGAAUCUACAGUGUGAAACAUACAGUGUGACCAGUGUAGUCUGAUUCCCAAAUUAAUGACUCUAAUGAGCCGGUUCUUUUGAAUCUACAAUGUGAAACUUACAGUGUGACCAGUGUAAUCUGAUUACAAUAUUAAUGACUCUAAUGAGCCGGUUGUUGUGAAUCUACAGUGUGAAACAUACAGUGUGACCAGUGUAGUCUGAUUCCCAAAUGAAUGACUCUAAUGAGCCAGUUCAUUUGAAUCUACAGUGUGAAACAUACAGUGUGACCAGUGUAGUCUGAUUCCCAAAUGAAUGACUCUAAUGAGCCGGUUCUUUUCAAUCUACAAUGUGAAACAUACAGUGUGACCAGUGUAGUCUGAUUCCCAAAUUAAUGACUCUAAUGAGCCAGUUCUACAGUGUAGUGUUAAAAGUUUAACUUAGUUGCUAGAUAGAUAGAUAUUUACCCUUAGAUAUAUAGAGAGAUAGCUAUAGAUAGAUAGAGAGAGAGAGAGAUAGAUAUUUACCCUCAGAUAGAUAGAUAGAUAGAUAUUGACCCUCAGAUAGAUGCUAGCACGUUUUUAGCAUGUUUUAGCAUGUGGCUAUGAAGAUUUUAGGUCAUUACUUUUUGGCUGCUUGAUAAAAGAAAUCCUCUGAGGGAGAGAGGGAGAGACGCAGGGCUGACAGGCCCUUUUUGUCUGCGUGUGUGAAAAUGUCAGUUGGGAUUUAAAUUUCUGAACAUUCCGCAAUGUUAAGUCAAUGGGAGUUUUUUCCGAGUUUGAUCGUCAUUUUUAGGAAAACCGUAAGUCCGAUCAGUUAGAAAAGAUAUAGCACACUAUUCGGGAUUAGUCUGAAGGUCUGUGCCGAGUUUGGUGCCUGUAGCUUAAAAGCUCUAGGAGGAGUUAGAUACCGAAAUUUCACCGCUAAGAAGAAUAAUAAGAAGAAUCGGUAUAAGUUUAAGUAGGAUUUCAGUAAGUUGGCUCUCACAAGCCAACUUAACUAGAAAAAGUUCGUCGAGACAAACUUUAAGUUGGCUUGUGAAAGUUUGGACCAGAAAGUUUGAAGUUUAAAGUAGUUUGAAGUUUAAAAGUAGUUUGAAGUUUAAAUUAGUUGCUAGAUAGAUAGAUAGGCACUCAGAUAAAUAGAUAGAUAGAGAGAUAGAUAUUUACCCUCAGAUAGAUAGAUAGAUAGAGAGAGAGAGAGAGAGAGAUAGAUAAAUAUUGACCCUCAGAUAGAUAGAUAGAUAAAUAUUCAAAAAUUUCAUUUCAUGGGCCGUCCUACACCAUUGUAAGUCAAUUUGGGCAAAUUUGGGCAGCUCCUGCCCCCCAGGGGUGCAACUUUUACCCCAUAUUGAGGCAUGCAUCUUACAGAGCCUGCCAGCCUCUUCAAAUGUAGCAAAUCACACGUUUCUGCGAAAUCCUCGCUCGGAGCUGUGAUGCGUCAAAGUUUGUCGCAAUGUAAAGUCUAUGGGAUUUUUCGGGCGCUUUUUUGCCCCUGGGGCAAACACCGUACCCCCGAUCGCUUAUAAAAGUCAUAGCACACGUGUCCUCAAUAGGCCGUUCGAUUUGACACCUCAUUCGUGGGUCUACGCCAAAAGGUGCGGGACGAGUUAGGUGCCGAAGUUUUGU